GUAAUUCGCUGAUGAACUAACGCUUAGACGCCUUGCCAAUGUAUUUUACAGCGGCAAAAAUGCAUAGGCGACGUUGGAAAGACUGGUGUGCCGUCUGGGUAUGUUGGUUUUCAGUGCUGGGCAGUAGCGAAGCGACUAAUUUAAUUACAUUCUCUAGUAGCUUGGUCGUAGCGUCACUACUAUGUAUCGAGUAGCUAACAUCCCUGUAGUAAUGCUAUUUUUCCUCAAGUAGCGACGUUUUUGUCCCCCAUCGAUUUUACUCAAUGAUUUUUGUUUUACUUUCUCUAUCCUGAAACCUAGGCAGUCACACAGGGGUUCCAAGACCCACCGGCGUAAAAUCAAGUCAAAGGCUGCUGUCUCAUAAUAUGGCGAAGACGAGUCACCUGAAGGCCUAACUCGCCAUAGAAGACUGAAAGAAUUGUCCUGCAGGAUGCUGUGUCCUGCAAUCCUGUGUACUGUGCUACAGACGCAUGUGGAGGUCAACCCAAAAUGGGCACAGUCUCACCGCAGAAGAGUGAAAGAGGAUCCUGGCAGGGAGACGGUAGUGUCCUGCAGAAUGGUGAUGGGCCAAUCUUACAAGAGACCACAGAAAACUGAUAUAGUGAACUAUAGAAACAACAGUGCCUGCUGCAGUAUAAUGAGGACACCCUGAGUAGAGAGCUCCAAUAGACCCAGGUCCAGUGUCUUGGCAGGGUGAAAUGGCACUGAUAUGGUGUCCUGCAGGAUGCUGUGUCCUGCAAUCCUGUGUGCUGUGCUACAGACGCGUGUGGAGGUCAACCCAAAAUGGGCACAGUCUCACCACAGAAGAGUGAAAGAGGCUUUAAAACUUAAGGCCACCGCUAUGGAGGGAGCGGCUGCAACCGCCACCAGCGCAGCAGCUGCCCAACAAGCUCGACCCUCCGAUUCCUCCACCUCCAGCUCCUCCACCUCCUCUUCAAGUGACUCGGAGCCAGAGAGGAAGAGAAAGAAGAGGAACAAGAGAGACAGGAAAAAGAGAGAGAAGAGGAAGAAGGACAAGCACAGACAGACAGAAGGAGAGAACUUGCGAACACUUGCACCCUAUUGCGGAGCUCGCCUUCAGGUGGGCACAUGCAGAAAAUUGAACAGCUUAAUGAUUAACAACGAUUUUUAGAACCUGAACAAGGACUGCCUGCUUACCUUUUUUUUUUCAUCUUUUUGAAAUAUCUAGCAGGUCCCCCUUUCUUUUCAGUUGCUGUAUCUCCUGCAUGUGCCCACCUGAUUCACACUGUGUGGCACAGUCCUUGGUGAAGUUAAAUAAACUAUCACCAGGAAGAUAUGUCUCCCUAAUUUCCAUGUAAUCAUCAGGGCUGACCGUUGCAAGCUCCGCAAUAGGGGCUUGGUUGCAGAUGGUAUUUCUGUCGAUCGGAAUUUUUUCGUACGCCGCCGUCUUGCUUAAACCCUUUCUCACCAGCCUGACCACCUCCAUAUAGCGGGGGGCUAGCGGGAGCUGUCUGUAAAAUAUCUGUAUUUUGUUUGUAUAUUUUACAGUAUCACCGCGGAAGGGCCUCUGCUACAUGGCGAAGAAGAAAAAAAUAGGUCUUUGGCAUUUUAGGGAUAAGAAACGAGCGGAGGUGUCCCAUCCUGUGGCUGGUGAGGAGAAGAGGACGGGAGAAUCUUAUCCCAAUUGUGGUCAAGCAUGUGCGUCCAGGAGCCACCCUGAUCAGUGAUGAGUGGCGAGCAUACAGAGGCGCAUUAGCUGCCAUUGGCUACACUCACUUCACUGUUAACCAUUCAAGAUGGUUUGUUGAUCCAAACAGUGGGGCCCAUACACAGCACCUUGAGAGGGGUUACUGCCACACUUAUUGUGUGUGUGUGUGUGUGUGUGUGUGUGUGUGUUACAAUAUGUGAAGGCCUAUGACUUGCUUUCAUAAUAAUAAAAAGUUAUUGCUCUCUGUCUGGUGCUUUGAUUGUAUUUAAAAGUU